AUUACCUGCGGCUGCUGGCACGUAUUAUGCCGGUGCUUAUUCUUCAGUGUACCUGUCAUCCCUCCGAGUGUAUUAUCUCAAAGUGAUUUCUUCCCUGACAAAAGCGGUUUACAACCCGAAUGCCUUCUUCCCGCACGCGGCAUGGCUGGAUCAUGCUUGCUGCCCAUUGUCCAAAAUUCCCCACUGCUGCGCUCCCGUAGGCCCCCCGUGCCCCCGCCCCGCCGCCGCGCGCGGCA
rnacentral:rRNA from 1 species